CAUGAAGCUAAAUUUAUAUGCCUGCUUUGCUGAAUACCGGCCCUGUGACCUUGUGGGACUUGGACCAAUCUAGUAUAGGACGUUGCUCAUACCUCCACAGUGCCUACUAGGGCCCUGUUUACAUCUGGAAGAAGCUUUUUCUUCGAUGGAAUCACAAGUGGACGACGCUAAAUAUUAGGGGUGUAACAAUAUUCAAACCGAACCGAAAAACCGCGAUACACGGUACCGCAGUAGCCUAAACUAAAUUCUUCAUUGAUUUGAUUCAAGCGGAACUAAGAUUUGCGAAGCUCCCCCUACAGGUUCCUUCAGUGAAUCACUGUCGUAAAUACUCCAAGCGCAGCUCUGGACUACAACGACUACAACGCUCACCAGCGCAGUAGUUUUGCAAAUACAGUACAAGAAAUCUUGAUGGAGUAAUUGGUGUGGAGAGAGUACUUAACGCUAGGAGAAACAGGAGUGAGCGAGAGAGAGAAGGACUACUGGCUGCCACACUCCCAAAGACUGACUGGAGCUGACGGAGUGAAUUCCCAGUGUUUAUGUUGCCGAUUGUUUUGUGCCUGUUUGCACACCUUUUUGUUGAUUUUCUAAAUAAAGCAGCCAGUAGUCACAGCCGA